UUGGAGACAUUACCUUAUUUAAUCAUUAAAUUAAUAGGUCAUGAGAAUAAAUGAUGUUUCUCUGCCUUCAAUGGCUCAAGAAGGCAAUCGGCUCCAGAAAAAAACCCUGGGGAAUUUGAAUUUGGGAGAAAUUGGCGAAAGAAAAUUGCGUUCACAACCAGGUAUUCCUCUGCAGAGCCUUAUCAAUGGGCUUUGGAGGGUUGUAGCUUGCGUUCACAGCUACAGGAAAUGUCUUUCGAAGAGUAAGGUCACUGAGUGGUGGGUGCUAUUUUGAUCUAGUGAUUGAAAUUAUUGUUUAUUCUUUAUGUAACCUCUUUCUAGAAAUCCCUCAAAUGAAAAGUGACCUCACCAUUAUUGCUCAAAAGACUGGAAGGACUCCUAUGGAGGAUCUAGAUUCCUCCUUCUCGACUUUUGGAGAAGUGCAACCGACUCCAGAGAGGAGACCGAGCCCAGAGGAGACCGAGCCCUUUAAAGAGAGUCCCAUGGUGACUGAGCGCUUUCGAGAGACACCACAGACUGCAGCAACAGCUGAGACCUCAGCGAAAACACAGAUUGAAGUUAAAAAGGUCUCUGGGGUGUUUUGCCAGGCAGAAGCGUGGAAAGCAGCCCGCCUUGCCACCUCUGCUACUGCCAUGGUGUGGAAUCUGCUGCUGGGCACCUUUUUGAUUUGGAGAAAAGCAACCUGAAUGGUGGGAAGCCAACCAGAGGGGAUGGGGAGCAGCUGUUCGCCCUUGACCAAAUUAAAAAGGCAGCCAUUAUUGCCACAUUUCUGGGGUAUUGCGCUGUAAGAUGCUACAUUGAAGAAGUGGCCGGCAGCCAGCCGAGGGCAGAUAGACACAUCUAUCAAUUCGAAGCUC